rnacentral:rRNA from 1 species
AACGAACGCUGGCGGCAUGCCUAACACAUGCAAGUCGAACGAUGGCUUCGGCCAUAGUGGCGCACGGGUGAGUAACACGUGGGAAUCUACCUGACAGUGGGGAAUAACAGAGGGAAACUUCUGCUAAUACCGCAUACGCCCCUUCGGGGGGAAAGAUUUAUCGCUGACAGAUGAGCCCGCGUCCGAUUAGGUAGUUGGGGGGGUAAAGGCCUACCAAGCCUUCGAUCGGUAGCUGGUCUGAGAGGAUGAUCAGCCACACUGGGACUGAGACACGGCCCAGACUCCUACGGGAGGCAGCAGUGGGGAAUAUUGGACAAUGGGCGCAAGCCUGAUCCAGCAAUGCCGCGUGAAUGAUGAAGGCCUUAGGGUUGUAAAGUUCUUUCGGGUGGGACGAUGAUGACGGUACCACCAGAGGAAGCCCCGGCUAACUUCGUGCCAGCCGCCGCCGUAA